GAGAAGCGUCGUGUAAGUUAGCGGAAAUAUUACUAGCGGUGGACUUUCCAUGGUGGUGAGUCUCACAGUCACCGUUUCACAUUAGGUGAAAGCCGUGUCCCGAGCCUCUCCCUUCCUCUGGAUGCUGACACAGACUUCUCUCAGAGUACAGCCUCGAAGCUCCAGCUGCAAACACCUGUUCCGGUGACAUGAAGAGAGAGAGAGAGAGAGACUCUACGUCACAGUCUAAUCUGCUCAUUUGAACCCUGAACCCUGUUUGCCGUGUUUUACCUGACAGUCCAGCCAUCUGGAUUCAAGCUGCCACAAAGCUGAGAGAACUGACUGGCCAGCUGGUGUCCAUGAUCCAAAACCUUCGGAUGCACACUGUCAACUAGACUGGCGUCUGUAGUCUUGAGCUCCAGAGAGACACUGAUCCCGUCAGAUGGCUUAUAGAUGAGGCUCACCAGGAUCUUGGGCGGCAGGGGAACGUGGAGGGAGAAGAUCCUGAGAGACAAAGGAAACAUGGAGACUGCAU